UUGAUGGCAGUGUAUUGGACUACCAUGGCAAUGACGGGUAACGGAGAAUUAGGGUUCGAUUCCGGAGAGGGAGCCUGAGAAACGGCUACCACAUCUACGGAAGGCAGCAGGCGCGAAAAUUGCCCAAUCCCGAUUCGGGGAGGCAGUGACAAGAAAUAACUACACUCGGUUUAAUGCUGAGUAGUGUAAUGAGAGUAAUUUACAAACCUUAUUGAAUGCAAUUGGAGGGCAAGUCUGGUGCCAGCAGCCGCGGUAAUUCCAGCUCCAAUAGCGUAUAUUAAAGUUGUUGCAGUUAAAAAGCUCGUAGUUGAAAUUCUGGCAUCCGAGCCAGCAGCUCCUAGGAGACGCUGCUCGAUGCCAUCCGCCUGUAAGCGAGUGACCUGCUUUAAACGGCAGACCUCGCGAACUGGCAUUUUACCUUGAGAAAAACAGAGUGUUCCAGGCAGGUAUGUCCGGAAUGCAUUAGCAUGGAAUAAUAGAAUACGACUGAUAUUCAUUCUUUGGUUGUUGAAUAUUAGUAAUGAUUAAUAGGAACAGUCGGGGGCAUUGGUACUUGACAGUCAGAGGUGAAAUUCGUGGAUUUGUCAAAGACUAACAAAUGCGAAAGCAUUUGCCAAGGAUGUUUUCAUUAAUCAAGAACGAAAGUUAGGGGAUCAAAGACGAUCAGAUACCGUC
rnacentral:rRNA from 1 species